rnacentral:rRNA from 1 species
GACGAACGCUGGCGGCGUGCUUAACACAUGCAAGUCGAGCGGUAAGGCCCUUUCGGGGGUACGACGAGCGGCGAACGGGUGAGUAACACGUGGGUGGACCUCGCCCUCAGCUCUGGGAGUAAGCCUGGGAAACUGGGUCGUAAUACUGGAUAUGACUCCACGGUGCAUGUCGUGGGGUGGAAAGCCUUGUGCGGCUGAGGAUGGGCCCGCGGCCUAUCAGCUUGUUGGUGGGGUGAUGGCCUACCAAGGCGACGACGGGUAGCCGGCCUGAGAGGGCG